CUCAGCCUGUGAUACACUCCACAUGUCUGUCUCAUGGGGAGGUGCUGCUGGUCUGCACAGUGGAUAAAGGGGAUAAUGCUUCAUUUAACUGGAGUUUAGAUGGAGUGCCGCUGAAUACCAGCCUUGCUUACUUUAGUGAUGAAGAACAUGUUGUAAUAUUGAAAAAGCAUGUCUCAGGUAAUCUUGUCUGCAUUGCUACAAACCAAGUCAGCACAAACCAGAGCGACUCUGUGAUACCAAACUGCUCAGUGAUAAAGAACACAUUGUAAUAAUGAAGAAAAUGUCACUGGAGUUCUUCUCUGCAUUGCUAAAAACCAAAUCAAUGAAGAGCAGAGUGACUGACUCUGUGAAGUCAAACUGCUCAGGUUCUGAACACAAGAUGAAUCUGACAUCCACGCCCAGUCUAGUGACCCACUUCCAUUGCACCCUGGAGAAUGGGACGGUUAUCAAAUUAUCUGGGGACAAAGCAGGAGGGGCUUUUCACUUCUUAAUCAAUAAGAGCAUGAUAAUAACAAAAUAUACAAAUGGGUUUGCAUUUUGCAGUCUACAAACCUGCUGUUCAAAUUGCUCUGGUAAUUUAACCACAGAGCCUGGUGAUGCCAGUAAUGCAGAGGAUGCUGGUACUUUAUUUCUUUAUUUAUUCAUUUCAGUUCAUAUUGAUUAGGUAGCAAUUACUGUAUGGAUUAGUCAUUUACAGAUGUGUUGGAAGUCUAUUGACUGUCUAAAUAUCUUACAGAUAAUGUUUAAGUUUUACAUUCUCAAAUGUAUUUAAGUAUUCAGUCCAAUGCAAUUAUAUGGAAAUGAAGGUACACAACAGAUGUACUGUUCUAAAGGUUCACAGAUGUUUGUGACAUUUCAUAUCAUAUACGUUUCAUUAGGUCACAUCACAGACACUAUUUUAGACAUCAGUUUUAAACAUUCAUGAAGAUCACAGGAGAUUUCAAACAGCAACUACCAUAAAAAACGGUGUAUAAGGCGCACUGGUGUAUAAGUCCCCCCCUCCUUGUGAGACAACAAUUUCAGGAAAAAGCCUAUAGGUCACACUGGUGUACAAGUCGCUCCCCCCUUUUCAGGACCCCCCUAAAAAUACCUAGAUUUAUACAAAGGUUUUUAAAGUAGUUCAAGUGCUCCAAUGUUGAGAUAUUUUUUUUUAAUGAUGGCUCUAUUGAUCUUCUGGUUUUCUCUUUGACUGGCUGGGAUCUUGCUUGCAUUGCUGUGGAGAAGCUUUGUGAACCUGUGACCAUUCCACUCAUCUGGCUUCACCUGCUAUGUGGUUUACAGUGAUUGUGCAGUAUAUACCAGAUGUUCACUCUUAUCAAUACUGUCUGAUGGUGGGUUUGCAGAGGUACGUUUAACGUGACAUGACUCUAGUACCUUAUCUAAAACACCAUAAUAUACUAGAAUAACUCUACUGCACACCUUACAAAACAUGCACAACUCAUGAAAACCUCUGCAUGCCAUUUUUAAUAAAUUACUAUAGUAUAUAAUCAGGUGGAGUUAUAUUUUAUAUAUAUAUAUAUUUCAUAUUUCCUAGUGCCUUGACAUAUGUUUGUGGUGAACCUAUUUUGUGAUCAUCAUUCCUCCCCUUUAUGUGUCUUUUAUGACCUGACCUUUUUCUUUCUCCGUCUUACUCACUUUAAAUGCACCUCUGCAAACCCACACCAACAUACAGUAUUGAUAACUGACAAUUUGGUAAAUACUUAGCACAAACACAAUUUCUAAGCAUACACAUUCAAUAUUUUUAUUUAUUUACAGAUAUCCUUAAAUAUGUCCUUGGUGGAAGUGCUCUUCUUGUGAUCGUCAUGCUUUCAUUUACACUCUUGUGCAUGUGCAAGAAUAAAAAAAGGAAGGAGAAUGCCCAUUCGGUGAUUACACAAAACAGCAGUGAUGAACAGCAAGCUUCCCUAUCCACAAUGAUACCAGAGACUGCAAGCACAGCAAUCCAAG